rnacentral:lncRNA from 1 species
GCGGACAGCUCUGGCGACUGUUGACUGGCGGGCAGCUCUGACGAUGACUGUUGACUGGCGGGCAGCUCUGACGAUGACUGUUGACUGGCGGGCAGCUCUGACGAUGACUGUUGACUGGCGGGCAGCUCUGACGAUGACUGUUGACUGGCGGGCCGCUCUGACGAUGACUGUUGACUGGCGGGCAGCUCUGACGAUGACUGUUGACUGGCGGGCAGCUCUGACGAUGACUGUUGACUGGCGGGCAGCUCUGAUGAUGACUGUUGACUGGCGGGCAGCUCUGACGAUGACUGUUGACUGGCGGGCAGCUCUGAUGAUGACUGUUGACUGGCGGGCAGCUCUGAUGAUGACUGUUGACUGGUGGGCAGCUCUGAUGAUGACUGUUGACUGGCGGGCAGCUCUGAUGAUGACUGUUGACUGGCGGGCAGCUCUGAUGAUGACUGUUGACUGGCGGGCUGACGCACUAUAAUCCUGGUGCGUGGUGCUGGUACC